rnacentral:rRNA from 1 species
UACGGAGGGGGCGAGCGUUGUUCGGAAUCACUGGGUGUAAAGGGUGCGUAGGCGGUGCGUUAAGUCUGAUGUGAAAGCCCUGGGCUCAACUCAGGAAUUGCAUUGGAAACUGGCGUGCUGGAGUACGGAAGAGGUAGCUGGAAUUCCCGGUGUAGCGGUGAAAUGUGUAGAGAUCGGGAGGAACACCGGUGGCGAAGGCGGGUCUCUGGGCAUCUCCUGACGCUGAGGCGCGAAAGCGUGGGGAGCAAACGGG